rnacentral:rRNA from 1 species
GUGCCAGCAGCCGCGGUAAUACAGAGGGGGCAAGCGUUGUUCGGAAUUACUGGGCGUAAAGGGCGCGUAGGCGGCCUGUUAAGUCGAACGUGAAAUCCCCGGGCUCAACCCGGGAACUGCGUCCGAUACUGGCAGGCUUGAAUUCGGGAGAGGGAUGUGGAAUUCCAGGUGUAGCGGUGAAAUGCGUAGAUAUCUGGAGGAACACCGGUGGCGAAGGCGGCAUCCUGGACCGAUAUUGACGCUGAUGCGCGAAAGCCAGGGGAGCAAACGGGAUUAGAUACCCCGGUAGUCC